UGAAAAUAAUGCAAAAAAGCAGUAUUAACCAAUACUGGAGAGUGGAAGAAAGAAGAAAAAGAAAAUUAAUUACAUCAGUUUUUACACAAAAAUGGAAUGAUUAAGAGCAUGAAUAGAUAGUAACAAACUAUAAUGCAGGAAAAUCCUGGAAACAUGUAUUUUGCAACAUUUGUGCAGAGAUUACUACUCUUAAGGAUAAAACAAAACAAUAGAGAACCAACGAGGAAGGGUCUGUAGCAUCUAUCACUGAAAAGGAUAAAAUUUGCCCAUGGAUGUGUAUAUGCAUGUGCAUCGAGAUAUCAAUAAUGAUGAUUUUUUUUAUUUCAUCCACUUUCUUUAGCUGAAAUUAUUAAAGGAUACUUACCAAAUAUAG
rnacentral:misc_RNA from 1 species